AGCUGUUUUUUUCUUGUGAUUGAGUGAUUACACAAGAUGCGUUUCAGUAAGUUGUACUUUAUCUUACAACAUACCUUCAGAUGUGAUCAUUUAUGUUUAUUCUGUAACUAGUAUUAAAGAGGAGGAGAUGAUCGCGUUCACGCGCUCUCGCGUUGCCUCUUUAACUGUCACGCCACAUCAAAGAGUGGAAAAAAAAGGCAGUUAUUGUUUGAAUUUUGUGGUAAAAUGGACAGAAUUUGAGGGAUGAGACUUAUUAUCGAAAGCAACAAAACGCAAAGCUUGUUGCGAUUAUUGGUGGUUAAUGGUGGUUAAAAGUAGCUACUUAAUGGGCUACAACUCUGUAUUCGUCGAAUUGAAAGACUCGUUUUGAAUUUUUUUUGGUACGAAUAACGUUAUGUGUCCCGUUACACCCCUAGUUUGAGGCUGUAUGCUUCAUUAUGAUCAGAAUCAUCAUUGGUGCAUGAGGAGAGAUAAACCUCUUCCCACUCUUGCUGAACGGGCAUUUGACUGGUCUAUCCUCCACUGACCCAGAAUAGCAUCCCUUUGAAAAUGAGUGUUUACAACAAUCCAGAGGUCCAGUCUACUGAAUAAGGAAUACUGGACAGGUGUGGGAACAGAUGGGCUGAGGGAGAACCAAGGUGUUUGCGGAGCCAGCAGGAUGAAACUUGAGGCUUCGGCACGCACCUCUCUAGCAAUCUCUGCUACAAACACGGAGCUCAUCUGCAAGUCUUACCACGGCAUAUCUCAUCUCAGAAGUGCGACAUGAGACUGGCACGUCACCUCCUGCCCGCUCAGGUGCACUCAAUGCUGUUUCACGCCCCGUUGCGUACUAAAGAUGAACAACCAUGGAUCCUUGAGUCAGUGAAGACACAAAACACGUCAGCUUCCCCAAAUACAGUCACCACCACGGGGGCAGGAUGGAUGAUUUGACAUCCUUUGUGCAACACUGAAAGGAAAAGACCUGAACAGUUUACUGAGCACGGCAUGACUGUUUUAAACUCAUCAAUAUUUAAGCAGCAACCGCGCCGCAAAGUGAAGCACUGCAGCGGUGAGUCAACCUGCUGUCGUACUGACGAGAGAUGGAAGGACAGAUGAUAUAAGCUAGAGAUGGUGUCAGACUGGAGUGAUGUGGAUUUAGUCUAAUCAAGCUGCGUGGGCUCACACAGAGACAGCGGCGGAUGAUUCAUAUCGGUUGGAGUGCUCCUUUUGUGAACUGCUGCCGCCACAUCUCUGCUGUAACACGGCCUUCAUAGAAAUGAAGCCACGAAGGGCCUUGAAAUGGAUGGAAGCAACACAAACCGGGAGCUGUAAGCUCUGGGCUGACAUUCACAGAGCGAAUCUAUUCAUAGCUGAUAGAGAAAUUCAAGGUUUUUUAUUUCAUUUGCGCCUGUUGUUGUAGCUUGUGAUGUGCAGCAUGUAAGAUGCCAUUAGCGGUUUUCGCUAAUACAUCUGUUGCUCAUGCUUAAACUUCAGUUUGUCUUAUUGUUUAUGUUUCUAAGUGAUUAGACUUACGGUUUUCACCUGGUGGAAGAUAACGCAAAGGAAAAAAUCCAGAACAUUUCCGUUGUCAUGAGAAAUGGAGUCCCCCCCAGGAUUUGGGUCUCCUUUAGGACCCAGGCGGUAAUGCCUGAUCAAAUGUUGUUAUCGUGAUGUCUUGAUUAAUUAUAACCCAUUAAAAGUGCGUUGAACCAAUGGGAUCACUCGGGGUCUUAAAGAAGACCCGAUUCCUGGGGGGGGCUUGAUUUCUCACCACACCGUAACUUGCAAGAACCCCCUUUAGUCUGUAUCUGUUAUCUGUGAGGCCAAACAUUUGCACAAGCCUAAGCAUUAAUAGAACGUUUUAUCAAAUACACACAUUUAAAAUGUUCUCAUUCUCUUCUGGAAAAACAAACUAAAAACAUUGAUGACUCAUCCUGCACUACAUAGAUUUUACCCAAUCAGAUGCUUUCUAGAAUGAGAUUGUCCCGCCCCCCCUAAUACCACCUACUUCUGGCUAACAACAACAGUUUAACAAUCUGUAUUGUAUAAAGUGACUUGACUUAGCAAAUCAUGUUCCUCGGUGGAUAAUGGCUAAAACAAACACGUGUCCCUCAAUAUGAGCGGCCCCAAUUUUUUGUUUUAGUGUUAAACACAUGAACAACAAGAGCCUUCAUGUUAUGAAUUCAAAUGUGUUGAACAGCUGAUCGCUAAUAACACCGACACACACUUUUGGUUCUGGUGGAUUGAAGAAUAUGGCAGCAAAGUCCGUCAUGCUCUAAAUCAACAGCACAUCUCAUUUCUGCAAGCAGGAACGGAAGGAAUCUCAUGGAGUUUUUUUGUUAUGGCGAGACAAGCGUGGGCUGCGAUGAAGCACUGAGCGACAGAGCUCUUGUUUUCCACUGCUAAAGUCCAGAAGCCAGUGAAAAACAAAAGCUUUAAUUCCAAACAAAGCACUUCUGUGUGUCCAUUCUUGGAAGACAUUCCAAUACAACAUUCCAGAGCUUGUGUAGGUGGAGAUCUCGACCACUGGGUCUGAGGAUAAUUAAGUUUGUAAUUUUUAAUGAAAUGUCCCACCUACGCACACUGCAAUGUCCUGAAACCUCUUUGUGUCUUUGACUAUCUCUCUCUCUACAUACAUACCUGUAUAUAAAUAUGUAAUCAUUUGACUCCAUAUGCUGUGAAAAAGGAACUCUUCUAGAUUCCCAGCCCAUGGACGGUAUGCAUGGCUCUUUAUCAGUUUCUGAUGAAAAAUCUCAAAAUUACUGAUGUCUUCUAAGCAGUUCUGGCUUCUUCAGAAGCCUCUUCUUUGUAUUCAAAGUGAGUGUGAGAUGGAGAGCAGGAGGUAAAGAGAUCACUUUGCCAGGGGUGAGUUCUCUCCCCACGUUGGCGGAAGUUCUCACUCUCCAUGUGGGUGGUUUGGAGAAGAGCCCGUAGCAGUUAAGUGUGAUAACAGCGUAUCCACUGUGCCCACUAUGGUGUUUACUCACAGCACUCAAACUCUGUUUUGCCCUGUGUAUAACCUCCAGGAUGUUUAGUCUUGAUAAGCUGCUUGUUAUGGAAGAACAGAAAUAUGAGAUAAUAGAUAUACUACCAUAUUUCUUUUAAGUCAGUACACCUCCUCCAUGUUGACAGGAAAAGGACAGAUUUGUCAGCUCUUAAUUUGUAUGCGAGUCCAUUGCUUGAUUUGCUCUGUUAUUCAGUCAUUUUAGUUGUAUCAGGUUCUUGAGAUGCUUUUUUUGGACUGAAAAUGUUCUUGAUAGGUUUUUCAGACCAGCAUUUUGGAUUCUGAAGAAAUGAUUCUGGAAGAACUUGAAAAUAAAAGGUUUUCCAAAGGCUAUUGCGUCUUGGUCACUAAAAGUUUAGCGCUGUCAAAUCUAUUAAUCGCGAUUAAUUGCGAUUAAUCGGGUAAAAAAAAAAAAAAUCUUGAUGGGUUUUAAAGACCAGCAUCACUAUAAUCUUGUGCUGUCGAAAGUGCUGUUGAAUCGAUUAAUCGCGAUCAAUUGUGAUUAAUCACGAUUAAACUAAAAAUGCUCUUGAUGAGUUUUACAGACCAGCAUUUUGGAUUCUGAAGAAAUGAUUCUGGAAAAACUUGAAAAUAAAAGGUUUUCCAAAGGCUAUUGCGUCUUGGUCACUAAAAGUUUAGUGCUGUCAAAUCUAUUAAUCGCGAUUAAUUGCGAUUAAUCGAUUAAUCUGGUUUAAACAAAAAAAAAUAUCUUGAUGGGUUUUAAAGACCAGCAUCACUAAAAUCUUGUGCUGUCGAAAGUGCUGUUGAAUCGAUUAAUCGCGAUCAAUUGUGAUUAAUCACGAUUAAACUAAAAAUGCUCUUGAUGAGUUUUUCAGACCAGCAUUUUAGAUUCUGAAGAAAUGAUUCUGGAAGAACUUGAAAAUAAAAGGUUUUCCAAAGGCUAUUGCGUCUUGGUCACUAAAAGUUUAGUGCUGUCAAAUCUAUUAACCGCGAUUAAUUGCGAUUAAUCGAUUAAUCGGGUUUAAACAAAAAAAAUAUCUUGAUGGGUUUUAAAGACCAGCAUCACUAAAAUCUUGUGCUGUCGAAAGUGCUGUUGAAUCGAUUAAUCGCAAUCAAUUGUGAUUAAUCACGAUUAAACUAAAAAUGCUCUUGAUGGGUUUUACAGACCAGCAUUUUGGAUUCUGAAGAACUGAAAAUAAAAGGUUUUCCAAAGGAAAAAACAUUGCAUCUUGGUCACUAAAAGCUUAGUGCUGUCACAUUGGUUAAUCAAGAUUAAUUGUGAUUAAUCGCGAUUAAACGAAAACUGCUCUUGAUGGGUUUUACUGACCAGCAUUUUAGAUUCUGAAGAACUGAAAUUCGGAAGAACUUGAAAAUAAAACGUUCUCCAAUGGCAUCAGGCUGUAAAAAUAUUUUGAUUAGAAAUGUAAAAUUGUAAAGAAAAUCAUGCACUAAUGAACCCAUCAGUGGAGAAAUAGGGUGGAUCAAACCAUCUGUUUUGGACCAAAUGACUGGCUGGUUAUGCACCUGCCCGUUAAAAGUGACCGACAACAGGCGAGGUCAUCUAGCCAGGGGUGGCCUGUACUCCUGCAACUCACAUAACAGCACAAAUGGAAGAGUGCAGCUAGUGAGCAGAGAGGUGGUGGGUGGAUGUUGCCUGACUGGAGUAUGGGGCGGGUGGGGUUUGUGAGGAGGGUUGUGUUGGGGUCGCUGGAACUUGAGUACCGGAAAUUGCUGGGCAUGUUGGCAAAUCCUUCACAGUGCAGUUUGUAACAAGAGGACGACAGGGACUGAAACCCUUCACACAGGAUUAGCACACUGGCCAAGUAUAGUCACAAUCUGUUGGGUUUAUUUUCACUGCUUAAAAGACUUACAGAACUGUAACAGGAAUACUGGGACAAUGGACACAUGUUGUCUUAAAACCAUUGUGUCUUGGUCACUAAAAGCUAUAACAGUUAAUUGAAUAAUAUUAACAUAUUAUUUGUAACAAUUACAUGUUAUGUAUUACUGUGUAUAUAUUAUAU